GAAAGACAUUCUGAAUGCAGAGGGGGAUGAAAUAUACAUUAAGUAUUGGAGAAUAACAAAAUCAAGCAUAGAAACCAAAUUGAACAUAGAGUAUUCGGCUGUAACGAGGACCCUCCAAUGAGCGCUGGUAAUUUAUUAACCAACCCGUUUUACACUAAGUUACUUGUAUGUGUUUCUCUGGCAGGAUAUUAGCCUCUAUAUGAAGG
rnacentral:misc_RNA from 1 species